rnacentral:rRNA from 1 species
GACGUAGGGGGCAAGCGUUGUCCGGAUUUAUUGGGCGUAAAGAGCGUGUAGGCGGCCAGGUAGGUCUGCUGUGAAAACUCGAGGCUCAACCUCGAGACGUCGGCGGAAACCAUCUGGCUAGAGUCCGGAAGAGGAGAGUGGAAUUCCUGGUGUAGCGGUGAAAUGCGCAGAUAUCAGGAAGAACACCAAUGGCGAAGGCAGCUCUCUGGGACGGUACUGACACUGAGACGCGAAAGCGUGGGGAGCGAAUAGG